UCAGGCCUAACACAUGCAAGUCGAACGAAGCCUUCGGGCUUAGUGGCGCACGGGUGCGUAACGCGUGGGAAUCUGCCCUUGGGUACGGAAUAACAGUGAGAAAUUACUGCUAAUACCGUAUGAUGUCUUCGGACCAAAGAUUUAUCGCCCAGGGAUGAGCCCGCGUAGGAUUAGCUAGUUGGUGAGGUAAAGGCUCACCAAGGCGACGAUCCUUAGCUGGUCUGAGAGGAUGAUCAGCCACACUGGGACUGAGACACGGCCCAGACUCCUACGGGAGGCAGCAGUGGGGAAUAUUAAGGGAUGGGCGAAAGCCUGAUCCAGCAA
rnacentral:rRNA from 1 species